rnacentral:rRNA from 1 species
GACGAACGCUGGCGGCGUGCUUAACACAUGCAAGUCGAACGGAAAGGCCCUGCUUUUGUGGGGUGCUCGAGUGGCGAACGGGUGAGUAACACGUGAGUAACCUGCCCUUGACUUUGGGAUAACUUCAGGAAACUGGGGCUAAUACCGGAUAGGAGCUCCUGCUGCAUGGUGGGGGUUGGAAAGUUUCGGCGGUUGGGGAUGGACUCGCGGCUUAUCAGCUUGUUGGUGGGGUAGUGGCUUACCAAGGCUUUGACGGGUAGCCGGCCUGAGAGGGGGACCGGCCACAUUGGGACUGAGAUACGGCCCAGACUCCUACGGGAGGCAGCAGUGGGGAAUCUUGCACAAUGGGCGGAAGCCUGAUGCAGCAACGCCGCGUUCGGGAUGACGGCCUUUGGGUUGUAAACCGCUUUCGCCUGUGACGAAGCGUGAGUGACGGUAAUGGGUAAAGAAGCACCGGCUAACUACGUG